GGCUGUAGCUCAUUGGUAGAGUGCCCGCCUUGCACAUGUGAGGCACUGGGUUCGAUCCUCAGCACCA
rnacentral:tRNA from 1 species